rnacentral:misc_RNA from 1 species
GACUUGGAUAAAAUUAUCAGUGGGGAAGACACUCGGACAACCUUAAUGAUAAAAAAUAUCCCAAACAAAUACACCUCAAAGAUGUUGCUAGCUGCCAUUGAUGACAAUCACAAGGGCACUUAUGAUUUUCUAUAUUUACCAAUUGAUUUUAAGAAUAAAUGCAAUGUGGGUUAUGCAUUUAUCAAUAUGUUGUCUCCUUCACAUAUCAUUCCAUUUUAUGAGG